UACGAAGGGGGCUAGCGUUGCUCGGAAUCACUGGGCGUAAAGGGCGCGUAGGCGGUCAGCACAAGUCAGUUGUGAAAUCUCCGGGCUUAACUCGGAAAGGUCAACUGAUACUGUGCGACUAGAGUGCAGAAGGGGCAACUGGAAUUCUCGGUGUAGCGGUGAAAUGCGUAGAUAUCGAGAGGAACACCUGCGGCGAAGGCGGGUUGCUGGGCUGACACUGACGCUGAUGCGCGAAAGCGUGGGGAGCAAACAGG
rnacentral:rRNA from 1 species